rnacentral:rRNA from 1 species
UAAGGAAUAUUGGACAAUGGUCGCAAGACUGAUCCAGCCAUGCCGCGUGCAGGAAGAAGGCGCUAUGCGUCGUAAACUGCUUUUACACCGGAGAAAACCCCCUUAUGUAUAAGGGGCUGAUAGUAUGGUGAGAAUAAGCAUCGGCUAACUUCGUGCCAGCAGCCGCGGUAAGACGAAGGAUGCAAGCGUUAUCCGGAUUCAUUGGGUUUAAAGGGAGCGUAGGUGGUCUUAUAAGUCAGUGGUGAAAUCUUCUCGCUUAACGGGAAAACUGCCAUUGAUACUGUAGGACUUGAGUAUAGUUGCUGUGGGCGGAAUAUGACAUGUAGUGGUGAAAUACUUAGAGAUGUCAUAGAACACCGAUUGCGAAGGCAGCUCACAAAACUAUAACUGACACUGAGGCUCGAAAGUGCGGGGAUCAAACAG